GCGCAUUAGGGAUUGAAAUGGCAUCCUUCGACAGAAGAUAUAAUGGAAAGCCCGACCGAAG
rnacentral:misc_RNA from 1 species